ACGAACGCUGGCGGCGCGCUUAACACCUGCAAGUCGAACGGAAAGGCCUGCUUUCCCUUGUGGAUUGCGGGUACUCGAGUGGCGAACGGGUGAGUAACACGUGAGUGAUCUGCCCCCAACUUGGGUAUAAGCCUGGGAAACUGGGUCUAAUUCCCGAUAGGACUGCAGGGUGGUGCCUGUGGUGGAAAACGAUUUUCUAGUGGUUGGGGAUGAGCUCGCGGCCUAUCAGCUUGUUGGUGGGGUAAUGGCCUACCAAGGCGGCGACGGGUAGCCGGCCUGAGAGGGUGGACGGGCACAUUGGGACUGAGAUACGGCCCAGACGCCUACGGGAGGCAGCAGUGGGGAAUAUUGCACAAUGGGCGGAAGCCUGAUGCAGCGACGCCGCGUGGGGGAUGACGGCCUUCGGGUUGUAAACUCCUUUCGACCGCGAGGAAGCCACCUGGUUGGAAGGGUGGUGACGGUAGUGGUAGAAGAAGCACCGGCUAACUACGUG
rnacentral:rRNA from 1 species